rnacentral:rRNA from 1 species
UACGGGGGGGCAAGCGUUGUUCGGAAUUACUGGGCGUAAAGGGCUCGUAGGCGGCCAACUAAGUCGGAUGUGAAAUCCCCAGGCUCAACCUGGGAACUGCAUCCGAUACUGGAUGGCUUGAAUUCGGGAGAGGGAUGCAGAAGUUCAGGUGUAGCGGUGAAAUGCGUGAGAUAUCUGGAGGAAUACCGGUGGCGAAGGCGGCAUCCUGGACCGACAUUGACGCUGACGGAGCGGAAAAGCC